rnacentral:rRNA from 1 species
CGGAAUUACUGGGCGUAAAGGGCUCGUAGGCGUCCAACUAAUUCAUACGGGAAAUCCCUCAGCUUAACUGGGGAACUGCGUGUGAUACUGGAUGGCUUGGAUUUGGGAGAGGGAUGCGGAAUUCCUGGUGUAGCGGUGAAAUGCGCAGAUAUCGGGAGGAACACCAGUAGCGAAGGCGGCUCGCUGGGCCACACCUGACGCUGAGACGCGAAAGCGUGGGGAGCGAACAGG